rnacentral:rRNA from 1 species
UGGAGCAUGUGGUUUAAUUCGAUGCAACGCGAAGAACCUUACCUGGGCUUGACAUCCCCGGGAAUCCCCUGGAAACAGGGGAGUGCCCUUCGGGAACCCGGUGACAGGUGCUGCAUGGCUGUCGUCAGCUCGUGUCGUGAGAUGUUGGGUUAAGUCCCGCAACGAGCGCAACCCUUGUCAUUAGUUGCUACGAAAGGGCACUCUAAUGAGACUGCCGGUGACAAACCGGAGGAAGGUGGGGAUGACGUCAAGUCCUCAUGGCCCUUAUAGGUGGGGCUACACACGUCAUACAAUGGCUGGUACAAAGGGUUGCCAACCCGCGAGGGGGAGCCAAUCCCAUAAAGCCAGUCGUAGUCCGGAUCGCAGUCUGCAACUCGACUGCGUGAAGUCGGAAUCGCUAGUAAUCGUGGAUCAGCAUGUCACGGUGAAUACGUUCCCGGGUCUU